rnacentral:rRNA from 1 species
UACGAAGGGGGCGAGCGUUGUUCGGAUUUACUGGGCGUAAAGCGUGCGCAGGCGGUUUCGUAAGUCUGUCGUGAAAUCCCCGGGCUUAACCUGGGAAUGGCGAUGGAGACUGCGAGGCUAGAGUUUGGCAGAGGGGGGUAGAAUUCCACGUGUAGCAGUGAAAUGCGUAGAGAUGUGGAGGAACACCGAUGGCGAAGGCAGCCCCCUGGGUCAAAACUGACGCUCAUGCACGAAAGCGUGGGGAGCAAACAGG